UUGCUUAAUAAUUAACAUUAGAAUUAGUGUAUUUUAUGUGUGGCCCAAGACAAUAUUUAGUCUUCAAAUGUGGCCCAAGGAAGCCAAAAGGUUGAACACCCUUGCUUUAGUAAUAGUAUUACAUUGUAGUGCAUUAGAAGACUGAAAUGAAGAAGUAAUUAAGAUUUUUAAAUAUGGAAAGAAAUGUGGUUAUGAAAUUAUUUUUUACAAUCAAUAUACAAAUGCAGAUUUCAAAAAAAUAGAAAGUGAUGAAAAAUAUGAAGAUGCAUAAUAGUAAUGUGUGAAUACAGCAGAACAAUUCAGUGAUGACAUCUGUUAGAUCUUCAGAAGAAUCUUAUGUUAAAGAAUCAUAUCACAUGAGUAGGUAUACAAAAAUUAGAAAAGUGAUCAAUAAGCAAAGUAAAAAAAAUGGCAUACACCAGAAGUCCUGUGAAGAAGUUAACUCUCACCUAUCCUAUUUAUUAUUUUAUUAUGCUCUUUAUUAUUUUUAUUGUUAUAUUCAUUAUUAUUU
rnacentral:lncRNA from 1 species